UCACAGCUUACGCUGGCAGUUUCGUUAGAGUCCCCGGCUUAACCCGCUGGCAACUAACGAUAGGGGUUGCGCUCGUUAUGGCACUUAAGCCGACACCUCACGGCACGAGCUGACGACAACCAUGCAGCACCUCGCAGGCAGCCAUUGCUGGCUAUGAUGUUUCCACCAUAUUCUCCCUGCGUUCGAGCCCGGGUAAGGUUCCUCGCGUAUCAUCGAAUUAAACCACAUGUUCCUCCGCUUGUGCGGGCCCCCGUCAAUUCCUUUGAGUUUCAUCGUUGCCGACGUACUCCCCAGGUGGAUCACUUAAUGCUUUCGCUCAGACGCUUGCUGUGUAUCGCAAACAUCCAGUGAUCAUCGUUUACGGCGUGGACUAC
rnacentral:misc_RNA from 1 species